CUCCUUCUGCUUGUUCUGACUUUAAACUUCCCAGAUACAUAUUGCCUUCAAAGUUUUUAUAAUUCAAUAUAUUGUGGAAUGUAUCAGUGCUCACUAGAAAAACAGAUUUAUGACAUUAAGGAUUUACAAAGUUGGUUUACAACAGCCACCUGAGAGGCAGGCAUGGACGUGUGCAAAGGUUCAGGCCCAGGCCUGAGCGCCCUGCGGUGCCCGCGGAGUCCAUAGCAGGAGGCUGCAGGGUCAGCACUGGAAGCUAGGAGACGACGUGCAAGGUGAAGGUUAGGACCGGGUGGGGCUCCUGGAAGAAGCGGAAGCCAGGCUUUCUUCUCCUCUCCGCUUUAUCUCAGGCAAGGAUCUGGAACUGACUUUCCUCAGCCCACCAGGCAGACUUUCGCACCCUGCUGGAAACCGCCUGCCACUGCUUUUCAGUGAAGCAGUUGGCAAAGCCAGACAUGACCAACUUGUAUGUGAGAGGAAAGAAGCAGUGUGCACGUGACGGUGUGGGUCAAGUCCGCGUGAGUCCACCAGUACCGGGGAUCGAACUCACGACCGCCUGCUAGCAAGGCAGGUACUUAUGCUGCUGAGCUAAAUCCCCAGCCCCCCGAGAAACAAUUUGAACCUGAAGUUGGAGAGCAUUUUCUCCUGAGAGACAGGAGAAAGUGCCCAAGUUACAGGACCUCGAAGGCCAUGGAAAACAUUUUCUGAAGAAAAGACCAAGAGUCUGGCUGAAUAAACCUCUCAUGCUAAUAAGGUGCUAAUAAGAUUAAGACUGUGACUCAUGCAUCCCUUUAAAGAUCUCAUCAGAAGCCAGGAAGAAAACUGGGGUGAUCCAGAAAAACCCUGUGGGUAGUCCUCUCAUUUCUCAGUAUGAAUCCAUGGCACAGAGCAAAUACACAGUUGCUCUGAAUCUUCAAAACAGCAUUGUAGCAGCCAGGUUGCCAGUUUGGCCUGAGAAGAACAGAGGCAGGAGAAAAUGCAGAAAGGCUGUCAGGCUCCCAAAACUCCAUGGAAGGAGAAAGGCCAAUCACCUGCCCCCCUUGGGCACAGUCUACACUUGGAGAGAAGCCACAGCCAUGGAUGCAGAGUGAAGCCUGGAACACCAAGGAUUGUUCCCGGGUUUCAUCGCUGCUCUACUUCAGGAAGUGUUUCUCUCCGGUGGUCAUGGUCCUUGAUCUCAGGCAUUGCUUGCAGCCGUUGAAGGCUGGCCUGCUUCGCAUCUCAGAAAUCACCACCUCGGAAUUUCGGGACUGGAAGGUGACUUCACCGCCUCUGCACUGUGGAGACUUCAGGAUGUUUUCCACACUGCAGUUGUGCUGGACCUAAGUUUGACCCUGCGUUUAGGAACAAGAGAGGGGCUGUGUUGCUGGAAAUCAGGGAAAGGACUUCCGCCUGGCCUGUACCUUUCAGCCGCACCGUGAGCUCAGCCCACUCUCUGUCUCAGGAUUUUCAUGUCAAAACAGAAAAAAACAGAUGUCAAAAUGAAGCCUCCUUUAGAAACUUGGAAACACUCUACGAAAUGGGAAGAAGGGUGAUUUGGGGAGCGGUGAGAAGCAGGAAAUAGGGGGCAUCUGUGGGCAACGCAACUCAUGGACCCCUUCUUUCUGACCAGGCUGGUGACAUUGAAUGUAGAUUGGGGGCUUCUUAAGUUUGGUGUGUUCUGCUGUUUCUGGGGAAAUGUGGAACACGAAUCCACCAAGAAGAUGAAUAUGUGAGCUGUGAGCUUCUGGUGAAAUGAUUCCUUUCCCCUGGAGCUGCUACUGUAGGAAAGAGAACCUUAUUACCCAAAUGCUCUGAAGCAUAAGGCAGGCUUCGGGCCUCAUGCCCCACAGCCCCCCGCUCCGGGCUCAACAGAAGCAGCUGGUUUGGUAGGGCAAGCUGAGGUGGGCCCCAGAUUGUCUCCAGCCAGGGAGAGUGGUCGGCAGCUGAGGCCUGGGCCAGCAGCCUGGCAAAAGCUCUGGACAUCAGGCUUGGGGAAGAAGGCAGGGCCUCCUGUUUGCCCCAGCUGUCACUUCGGCAGGUGACUUGGAGGAGCGCUGGUAGCCAGUGGGCGCCUUCCCCCAGCUCCUCACUUAGUCCAGCCAGCCCCACCGCACUUGGCUCUGCAGCCUCACAUGGAUUGGAUCGGGGGUCUGGCUCUGCUGGCAGCCUGGGUUUGCCGAGUGCAUUGUGCUUCUGUCCAAGUAUUCUAAAACUUUUGUCUCGUAUGGGCAGAAAUGCCAAAAGGUAAAGACAGAGAAUGCCAGUUGCAGAUCUCAGCGCUCUGACUUGGUCCCUGCCUCCCUACCUGGUAACAGCUAGGACAACUCAGAAAUGCUGUCUUUCCCCCUUCCCGCCUGAUCCUGGGAACUUUACGAUUUUGCACCUCCUAGCAUCGCUGUACAUCCACCAUUCCACGUUGUAUUCCCCGCUUCCACUGUCCAUCAGAGAGGGCGAGUGUGCAGGAAUACAGACACAUGCCCUCUGUGCUGCGUGGCUGGGAAGCUCAUCCCUUACCUUCAUCUGAGAAAGAUGCUUGGGGGGGGGGGUAGGACCAGAAUAUGCUAUAUGCAUGUAUGAAAAUAAAAGUCAUAACCUGUAA